CUUGAAGUCCACGCUGCCAGGCCCCCCUGGGGCAGUUAACACAAUGAAUGAUUUACUCAUUGCCAGUUCAUCUAUAUCAAAUUACAGGUUUUCUUGAGUCUCAACAUUGACUCAUUUUUUUCCUGCAGUUAAUGUGCUUGUGGAGUUGUUCUUUUGAAGGGAUGCCGGUUCUCCUUCUCAAUGCAGGAAUGAUCAUUUAUAGGUAAGGAGUAAAAAUGUGAAGACUUCUGCAAAUAUGAGGCUGGGUCAAACUGGUACCCCACCACCACCAUUCUCCCUACCUACCCAUCCAGAUCUAGGAACUUUAGAGGUUCUCUUUUCCUGCUGGAAUAUUGGAAACACAUCUACAAAGUACUACAUGAGUAGAAUGUUGGAAUUCUUAAAGAAAAGCGCUCACCACCUGAAAGGGAUAUAAGGUGACCAAGGGUCAAACUUCAGUGACCUUCAGAGGCCACCCUGCCAAUGAAGGAACCCGCUGUGUUACUGCAACCUAAUGCCAGUAUGGACUCAUGCAGCAAAAUGACAAAAAUCACUGAAGGGGAAACGGGCAUCUCAGCAAGUGAAAGAUAUAUUGGCUGGUCCUCUAUUAUCACCCCUCAUUUGUUUUUUGCUUAGUAGAAGAUUUCCUGAUUUGAAGAGACAGGUUUAUUUUGGAGACUGUGAAACACAAAUGCACAAAACAAAAGGCAUAUCUGGCAGCCUAAGAAGCAGUUUGCAGUUAAAAACACAAUGAUAUAGACCAAAUUUAUCUCUCAUUCCCUGAACCAGCAGCAGAAGCAGCCAGUGCACAUGUCUGGCAAGAUCUAAGGGAAGAAAAUCUGAACCAGAAAGAAUGUGGCUGGCUUGAGGUCUGACGCAAAAGAAAAAACUUAUAAAUUUCCUCAUAGAACUCAUAUUAAAAUGGGAGUUUGGAUUCAAGCAACUAAACACUGAAAUUAAAAUUCUUAUAUGGGGUAUUUGUAGUUUCCAAUUAUAUCUUUAUGAUAUUUUCUCUGUGGAAGUUGAUUGCUGUUCAUUAUAAUAAAUUACUUGAAUUGUCUGUAUCUUUACUUAACCAUUUCUUUUCAUGUCUUUGCUUUCUUUUGUUCUUUUUAAAAGUAGAAAAUGCUCAGUUGCUAAAUAAUGAAGACUUAAUUUUUUGUUUCUCCCAAAUUUUACCUUACUCAUGAUCAUUAAUAAUUUUCAGAAGGGUUCUGAACCCUUCUCUUUUCUUGUGAACUCUAGAAAAAUGCUAGCUCAGUAUGCAUAGUACUCCAUCCUUAACCAGCUAUGUUAUUGCUUUGAACCCUGUUCUCCAACUUACUCAAGAAACUGCAGUUAAAUAUUAUUGGGAUCCUUUUUUUUUCUAUAACAAACACGUUUCUAUGUAUUUUAUGGAUAAUUAAAUAAAACUUGAACUCUGGGCUUAAGGUUUUUCUCACUGACUUGUCAUAGGAAAUACAAAAGUAACAGAAAUGAAUUUGUGGCUUAAAAGCAUCUUUUAGAGGGCCAGGGAUUUAGCUCAGUGGUGCUGUCCACUGCCUCACAAGCGAAAGGUCCCGAGUUUGAUCCGGUACCAAAAAAAAGGCUUCUGUGACCUACAUUUUUUGAGACAAUGAAAGUAAGGAGUCAAGAUCUUACAUGAUAAAGUGAAAGACAUCACUACCAGGAAAGCCAGUUAUGUGAAACAACCGUGUGAACCAUGUAAAAGCUGGAGAGGGGUGUCUUGAGAACCAGGGCUCAGUUUUGUCACAAGGGUUAGGUCAAUAGAAUACCAGUGCCACAUGCCUGGCAGAGUUCUUGCCACAUAGAUGUUAGUUGCUCCCUGGAUUAACCCCAGCUCUUGCUUUAUGGAUUCCUUGCUGACAUACCAUCAUAUUUAUCAGUGCUCUUACCUGUUUCUUUCCUUUGUCAAGGUUGUCAUCCACCUGGCCCUGCCUACGCAGCUGCAGCUAAAGGGCAGGUUCUCAGAUCAUAUGCCUCUCCCCUACUUUAUUUCCUUUUUUAAAAAAUCACCAUUUGGGACUUAGAGUUGGCUACUCAGAUUAAAAAAGUGUCUAAUUUAAUUUGGAUCAUUGAACCUUCAUUUCACUUUGGCUCGUUCAACUUAUUGAAUCAGACCAAAUUCUCAUAGUCCCUCAGGAAAUACCAUCUUUUACCCACAAGUUGGCAAAGGACUCCCAUUUUCAAAGAGAUAUUCAACCCAAUAACCAGAGGAGGUCCUGUGGCAGUCAAGAUUGGUCAAGGAAACAUAGGUCACUAUAAUCAUGACUCAGCCCUGGUUAUUAUCAUUGGGACAUAAUUUCACCUCUCUGCUAUUUCUAGCCAAUCUAUUUCUUAUCUCUCUUCUGCUUUUUCCUUUAUAUUUCAGCAAAAAUUCUAAGGUCUGUGAUCCAUUUUCAUGUUCGCCAAGAUCACAUUGGCACAGAAAUUUUUCUGCAGCCUUCCCUUGAGGACAACAUCACACUGAAACUUUCUGACCUUAAGCUAAAGGCUGUGCAAGCCUCUUAGCUACUUGUCUUCUGAUCAGCUUCUACUCCCACCUCCUCUUUUACUCAUUCAUUUCUUUCUUCCUUUCCUUAACACAGGUACUCCAUAGUUCUUUCCCCAUCUCUCUCCAGCUUUCUUUCAUCUGACCCUGAAAGACAAAAUGCUGAUAAGCUCCCUUCCCUGCUUCAUUAAAAAAUUGCCAUUAAAAUUUAUAGCUGGUUUAGGCUGGCCAUCACUGAUCUUCUUGAUUUAGUUACCGCCAAGAAAUGCUUUAUGAUUAUCCACUGACUUAUUUAUAACAAACAUAACAAAGUCCUUGGUGUUAGCAGCCUGUAGAGAAAUUAUUUGUUUUGAAAAUAGAGUGGAUACUUAAAGUUCUCUGUGAAGAAUGGGAGUGUUUGGGUUUGUUGUACUUGCAUAUUUUAUAUAGAAAGGUAAAGUCUCCAAGCCUCAAUAUGUAAUAACAUCAAAUCAUUUUGUUGCUGUGUAGAAAAUGUGUGUUCUAAGGUUGCACAGAAAAUUUCCUAAUACUUCUUAAGCACUGGUUUCAGUAGGCCACUGGUGAGGCUGGUAAGUGAAAACAAAGUGUACUGGUGAGGAUUAAAUGAUUCAUUGGCGGAAACUGUUUGAACAUCUAAAUGUGAUGAAGUUAGUUGAUUGUAGAAGAGUAAUUUAGAAGCUAAUGUAAUAACCACCUGUCUUGAGUCUGCUAUUUGAAGGAUGGUCAGAGAAGGAAUGAAUGCAGUGUUUGAAAUGUCUCAAUAGUGUUGAGUGUUCUGAUAUGUGUGAAAGUGAUCUGUUCUCCUUGGCACUCUGUCAAUCACUACAUGAGUUUAAGGUGUUCUGCAGUAUCCAAAGUCUUUUAACAGAUGCCUUUUGUCCUGAGAAAAACAGUGCAAUCACAUAGAACAGGCCAAUAAGAACAGUUGUAAUGCUUGUUUCCAAGGAGAAAUUGUGGCUGUAUCUUCUGGAAGUAAACACCAACAUUAUGGUGCCAGUGAUUGCUUUAGCACUUCACUGUCACAGAAGAAAUCUGAUGUCCACAGAAUGGUCAUAAUAUUCUGCCUUCUGUGCUUAGGAUCUGGCAGUAAAGACCAAGUGUCCAUACCUGUACUACUAUUGAUUACUGUAUAUUCCUUUGCUGAAGGCAGUGCUAUCUUAUGGGGUGUUGCAGAUAUAGAAGAGCUUGGUGGUGAAGGUGGAAGAAUAAAGACUGGUUUCUGCUGGUUCAAGUGGACUUUACCUAAUAAAUAUGGGAGCCAAGAGUAGAAGAACCAAUCACAUCAGGGAAAGCCUUCAAUAGCAGUUUUAAUGAGGUGCCUGGAUAAUUCAGGAAGUGUGGCUAGAUAAACCAAGUUCAAGUGAGGGUCCCACGUGACCCAAUCAAUUUCCACAUGAUAAUCCACAGAAAGCACUGUGUCAAAAUCACAACAAUGACAACUGAAACCUAAUCUUUAUCUCUUAAAAAUCAGCAAGGUAGAUUCGGUUUAUAAUCCACCAUAAAACACCUCUCAAACUCCUUUUGGUUCCUUUCCAACUUCUCCGACUCCAAAGCUGCUCCAGAAACAUUCACAUCCCAAAUAUCAAAAUGCUUUUUCACAUACCAUGUGGCACAUGUGAGCUUUCAUCACUUAUGCACACCUUCAGCUCUUAGUUUGCAGGCUCUACUCAGCCUCUCUUGUUUUGCUUUGCUUUCUCUUGUCCUUUGUUGUUUAAUGUGGUUCUAGCAUUUAAAAAAAGAUUAGGAACUAGUUUGGUAAAAUUCUCUUAGAAGCUAAGACAAGGGCAAGUGAAGAGUCUGAGGUAAAUACAAAGUUCUCUCAUUAGCUGGGGUGGAAACAGCAAUCUCAAACCAUUGCUGUGUUAAAAUAUCUGGUCCUAUCCCAACCUACAGUAAGAGCUAACAUUUAUUAGGAGUCAACAAAGUUCACGCAUUUUGUUGAGUAUUUUUAUAUAAUUAUGACAUGAUAAUUCUAAUUUAUCUUACAAAUUUGUAACAUCACUGUAAAAAUAAGGAGACAGUAGUUCAGAACGACUGAAUAACUUGCCAAGGCCACAUCGCAGGUUAAUAACAGAAUUAGGAUUUCCGAACCUCAGAAACCCUGCAAACACAGUGUACCUCAGUUCAUGAACACUAGUUUGCAAACAAUUUGGUUUACAAACAGAAACUUUUGGAAAAAUUUUGUUUUUGUUUGCAAACUCUACAUUGGGUGGCAAACAUGCCCGCAGUCGUAUUUCCCACACAAACACCAUCAUGGCCAUCAUUUCCAAAAUCAUAGAAAAAAAAUUAAGUUCGUGAAUCAAGAUACCACUGUAUCAUAUUCUUAAUCAUUAUAAACUCUAUGAAUUAGCAUCUCUCAAUGGCUGAGAUUGUACUGAGAUUAAAGCAAUUACUGAAACAUUGAUGCUGUUUGAAUAUAAGAAAUAUAAUUUAAGAAAUAUAAUUUAAUUCCAUCCUUUUUUUGAGGUAAGUGUAUUAUUUUGGACCCAACUCUGUAUUAACAAGAUCUGUAUUAGCAAAGGUUAGACACUUGUCUACAAAUUAGUACUGAAAUGUCCCAAUAUAAAUGCUUGUGAUUUGGAAGAGAAAUUCAAAAUUUAAAACUUCUCUUAAAAUUUUUUUUAACUGUUUCCUAUCCUCUGCCCAAAUGAUCAGCAGGAAUUCUAUAGCCCAGGGUUAAAAUUCUGAAUUUGUUACCCCUGAGUGGUUCACACCUCUCCACUCUGCCUCUUCUUGGAAACUGGAGGAAGGUUUUAGGAAGGAGGGGGAUUAAAGAGCUCAUGAGCACGUGGCAGUGAUGGAGCAUGGACCAAACCAGUCCACCAGUUUCUCUGGACAAUAUGCCACAUCCAACAGGAAUUAUUCAUUACAUUUCUACUUUUUAAAAUAAAUUUUCCCUUUGGUAUAAAUGUUUUCUUGCUGUUUUUGUACCCUGAUCAAAAGUGAAGUGCUAUUUCUCUAAUGACAUUCAUCAUUACUCCUGGGAAGUUAAGCCUUAAGUUGACACUUUCCACUUUUCUCUUUUUGGCAGAUGCCUUCAACCAGUACAUGCUUGAGUCAGGAACUUUCCUCUUUUAGCUGUGCUAUGUCACUACAUUGGUAGUGAGUCUCAAGCCAACUCCUUUGGCUGCUGUUUGGUGAUCUUUCUAUUGAGAUUAGAGUUUGAGUUGUUUUUAUAAAGGACAUGAAACAGAGAGGGGAAGGUGAGGCUGAACAUAGAGCUCUGACCUUAUAUUUGGAGGCCUUGGCCUUCUAGGUUCUAACAAACAUCACAGCUUACAAAAAAUCAUUCUAAGGCUCCCAAACAAUUUCUUGACUCUGUUAUAGAUGGAGUUUAUGGAAUUAUUGUAAGAGAUCUGCACAUCCCUAUGUAAAGGGAAUAAAUAAUAUAUCUUACACAUAUAUGUGCCAUUCAUUUCACACAUGAAAAUAGGUAAUGUUGUAAUCAAUACGAUACCAAUUGUUUUCCUUACACUAAUACAAUUAAAUUUAUUUGAUAGUAUGUAUUUACUUAGAGAUUCUACUACUGUCACAAGAAAUUUAUAAACUCUCACAUAAGAAAGGAAUCCCCCCCCCAACCCGGUACCAGGGAUUGAACUCAGGACCUUGCACUUGCAAGGUAGGCUCAGUACCACUGAGCUACAUCCCUGGCCCCAGGAAUUCUCCUUUUUAAAGAGUUUGGAAUCACUAAUCUAAAUAAUGGCGGCCCCCGCUGGGACUAGCAAAAUAGAAAGAAAUAUAAAAGAAGUCAAAAAUACAAAGGCACUGCUAAAAAAAAGCAAGAAGUCUCUGCCCAAAGCUAUCAAUUUCUGUAGGGAAAUUAGCUGACACAUCCUUGCUUUACCUUGGAGCUCCCAAAGGCUGCAGCUAGAUUUAGCAUGGGUGUUAGAGCACCGUGUGUCAGCAAACUCACAGGAAGAACCCAUCAUUUCUACUGAUAUUCUGUCUAAGCUUCAGAAUAGCAUAGCAUUCAGGUGCCUGCUUGUAUCUUAAUGUUUCUGACAUUUUCCUGAGGAGAAAUAAUAGAUUAUGAGUCAAUGUGCAAAGGGAUAAAUGAAGAGCUCUCUCCAAUUGUGAAAAUCCUGCUUCAAGUUGUUGAUCAAAAGGUUCAUCCAGAGAGCACAGCAGGUAAGUGAUUUUGCUGGUUUUUACCUGCCCCAAGUCCAUCUCCCCUUCUUCUGGUAACAGAAUCUUAAUUUUCCUUCAGAAAAUUGUCCGUCUCCACUGCUGAGCACAUAGUCCAGAAAUAGUCCCAAGAUUGCCCCUGGAAUUAAUCAGGAGGCAAAUUUCUUCAGAUGAGAUUUUGAAACUAGUUAGAAGUUAGUGCUACUUCAGGCCACUUUUGCUAUCAUUGAGGAGAGCUUGUGUAAGAAUAAAGCAACACAGAAUAGCUGGUCAGCAAAUGGGCAGAGGGAGAGGGAGAGGAAGAAGGAGAAGGAGAGAGAAUAUCUCCAAAAACAUUAGACUAUCUGAUCUGAAUAUUGGUGAUUUAGAUUUUUAGACAAGUCUCCUCUGUUGCUUACAUGUUUGACUUAGGGUAUUGUCACUGGCAUGUAAUGAAACCCAAGUAAUACAGAGUUGCCUUUUUUUAACCUUUGGUGAAAUUUGCCAUCUUCUUUGUGCAUUCCAGUUGCAAGGAAACUCCACUCUGCCAUGUCAGUACUCUUCGUUAGUCCACUAUGCUCCCUCUCUGUGGGGAGCAGGACUUUUUUAUGCAGGUCCAAGGAAAGGUGGGGGGAAUAAGAGACUUUGUAGUCUUCCUGGGGAACUUGGCUCUCUGAUGGCGCUGAAAAGACAUCUCAGGCCAGAAUGUUCCAAAAUGCAAACUGCAGCUUUCUUUCCAAAUGGCAACAGUGAAUGAUGGAUUGCAGUACACAAAAGGUUGCCAAUUUUUGAUAGAGCAGCCCAGUUGCUCAGCUGGGGACCCUGCUAAGAAGGAGGACUAUAAUAGUGUUGUUUUAUGGAGAUGGGAUAUUUUGAUGCUGACCCUUUGAUUUUGCUGCUAUUACUUUUUUACUAGUUCUUUUGUCAUUCUUGAUUCCCCUGCUGUGUUCCUUUCCAUUAUCUCUUUUCUUUGUCUGAAAUUGAACCCACAGAAUGAGCCUGUAAUCAGAGGACAUGAGAAUCCCUAAAUUGCUUUCAUUUUGAUUUUCUACUUUAUUAAUAUUCAGAAUAUGGAACAUAAAGGAGGCAUUUUGAAUCACUGUCUCUUCAACUUGGUCAUGCUACUAUGUAAUCCAUUGCAUGGAAAAUUUGAAUAUGCAUCAUAGCAUUUGAACCUGACAUUUCUAGAUCUAUUUGUAGUACAUUAUGUAGGAAAUUACUUCAGUCUUACUAGUACUGGGGAAAACUUCAUCAUGCAUUAUUCCACCAUCCUGAAAAAAGAAGCAAGUGGGAAGAUUUGUAUAUAAGGACAAUACAAGAACAGCAAUAUUCCAACCUAUUUAUAAAGAUUAAACUAACUCCCUCAGCAUAAUUAGACUUGACAGAUCCUCAAUUUUUGUGUUUUCUUGUGCUGUUAACAAAUAACCAAAUAAGGUCAUUGUUCUUCAGUGAUCUUUGCAUAGGAGUAAGAAAAAUUCAGAAAUUAAGUAUUUUAUAACAAAAUUAAAUUUUCCCUGGCUUAUGUAGGAGCUUCCGGAAAAGUUUUAAAAUAACAUUUCGAGUGUACUGAGCACUUUCUGUGAGCCAAACAUUUUGCAUAUGUUACCUUAUUUGAUCUGAGUACCUGGGACUAGAACAAUUAGUCUCCUUAUUUUAUAAGUGAAGAAACUGAGGGCUAGAGGGGCCAAGCAACCUGUUCAGAGCCAAGUGAAAGUUUCUAUGUCAAUCCCGAGGCCAAGCUUUCAGCAAUUACAGAAAGGAUAGGAAGAAGGGAGGUUGAAUUCUUGUUCUGUUAGCUCAUGGAUUCUUAAGGACUCCUAAAGUGAGGGGUUGGUGUGGGAGAGAACAAGGCAAAGCCAUUUCCUGUGUUGUUGGUUUCAGGCCUUUCAGGGGCAACAGAUCAGGAGAAGAUAAAUAAAGAUGGAUGGGGCAGGGGUGGUGGUGGUGGUAGUGGUGGCUGCUAGAAAUAUCUGUAGCAAUUUGCAAAGUUAAUUGUGGCAUCUUUUCUUACCGAUAGCUUGACAAUAGCUAGUGCCUAAGCCAUUUUGGCUUCCUAUCCAACUCCCUCAUGUCCCACACUCCUUUAUGGAGCUUAUUCUUUCUCCCAUUUCCAGACCUUUUUACAUUUUCUCCUACCCAGCAUACUUUUCUAUCCUUUUGCUUAGCCUUCAAGUCUAAUUUUGAAUGGUUUUUCAUCAUGAAGCUUUUGUUUGGUUGUUUGUUUUUGAGGGAGGGCCUCCUCACUAUGUAGUUCAGGCUGACCUUGAGUUCACUACAUAAUCCAGGCUGCCAUCCAACUCACAGUGAUCCUCCUGCCUCAGCCUCCCAAGUGCUGGGAUUACAGGUGUGUGCUAUGCC
rnacentral:lncRNA from 1 species